GUGGUUGUGACUCAGUGGUAGAGCGCUAACCUAGCAUGCGUGGGACCUGGGUUCGAUUCUCAGCACCACA
rnacentral:tRNA from 1 species